UUUUGUGAAGGUGCCUUUCUGUCAUUAAGGUGGCGGGUUCGUGGGCUUGCAUCGUUUACUGUAAAAAAAUAGAGUGUUUAAAGCAGGUGUUUGCUCAUUUGAAUACAUUAGCAUGGAAUAAUAAGAUACGGUCUUGGU